UAAGGAAUAUUGGUCAAUGGACGCAAGUCUGAACCAGCCAUGCCGCGUGGAGGAUGAAGGCCCUCUGGGUUGUAAACUUCUUUUAUAUGGGACGAAAAAGGGUCUUUCCAGAUCAACUGACGGUACCAUGUGAAUAAGCACCGGCUAACUCCGUGCCAGCAGCCGCGGUAAUACGGAGGGUGCAAGCGUUAUCCGGAUUCACUGGGUUUAAAGGGUGCGUAGGUGGGUUGGUAAGUCAGUGGUGAAAUCUCCGAGCUUAACUCGGAAACUGCCAUUGAUACUAUAGGUCUUGAAUAUUCUGGAGGUAAGCGGAAUAUGUCAUGUAGCGGUGAAAUGCUUAGAUAUGACAUAGAACACCGAUUGCGAAGGCAGCUUGCUACAGGAUUAUUGACACUGAGGCUCGAAAGCGUGGGGAUCAAACA
rnacentral:rRNA from 1 species